GCUGAUACGAUGGUUGAUUAAGCUAUGCUAGUAGCUAUAACCUAUAUCAAAACAGUGCGCAUGAAUCAGACUCUUGGCAGCUAAAAAUAGCGCAGUGCUUGUGUUUGGCAGGUAACACGCAGUUGAAUUUUUACCUAAGGAAAGUGAGUCUAAACACUUCCUUUGACACGUGGAUGUCAUACCUCCUCUGUGGAGAUAUGUAUUCCCCAAAAAAUCUUCUUUUAUAGUCUCAAAGAGCUUUGGCAACCACAAACUAUGUAAACAGAGCCUGAUAAUUAGCAGAGCAUCUAAUAGAGGUGAACCAAGAAGGUCUCUUCUUCACUCUUGUAUUACAGUACACUGACUACACUCUUGUAACAUCAACCAUGACCACACACUGUAUGUCUUGCUACUAUAAAUGCAUUAGUGGUCAUGUUGACUGCACUUAACUUUUAACCAACUGUGUAAGGAGCUCUGAAAAAUUUGCUGGAAACACCUCAGUAUUGAAGACCCAGCAGCAUGAGAAACAUCUUCAUUCAAGUCUUUCCAGCAGCAUGAGAAACAUCUUUGUUCAAGUCUUUCAAGUUAUUGUAGUAGUCCUUCUCUUGGUACGGACAGUUCAACCCAACAAAAACUCAUGUAGGACUGGUGUAGAAGAGAUUUUCAACACAGAUUCUAACCAAGUCCUGUUGUCAAAAUGGCUCCAACACCACUGGUCUAACCUCACAUCAACUGAUUUACAAAUAGUGUUUAGAGGUUGUAUAUUGGAGCAAAGAGACAGCCUAUUUGGAGGAACUAUCCUUUCGCAAAUUGCACGGUCCUACCAGGUGUUCCCAAUCAACCUAAUUACACGAAUUCUGCACUAUUUGAAGGAUGAAGGGUACGAUGUUUAUCUAAUUAUGAUGGACAAUGAUGGGGACAUUCCCCUACACUCGGCAAUCAAGGGAAUGGCUGAUCCAGCUUACGUGUCAGUUUUCGCAAGCACUAUCCCAAAAUACACCCAACAUUCUCUAAAGGCAAAAAACAACAAAGAAUAUGUGCCACUGGAUCUGGCAUUCGAGUUAGGCCAUUUCCAAGCAGUUCAAGUAUUACUUGAGCUCUCAAUUGAACAUGGAGUACUAGCACACCUGACAGGGGUCCAUGCACUCAGUGGUACAACUCUUCUUCACAAGGCCUUUAAACGUGGUCACCUUGAAUACUUUCAAAGUCUACUAACAGUUUGUGCAAAGCUUAAUACAUCCGUGCUACCAGUACUUCUGGUACCGGAUAGUAAAGGGAACACACCAUGGUACUACCUCAUCAGUAGAAACAAACACCAUGAGAUUGAACAGGUGAUGUAUAUGUGUCAAAAAUACGAAAUCGAUGUCAAUCAAGUAUAUCUGGACCCUCAAAGGAAAACAACAAUGUUACAUGAAGCAAUCCGCAAAAAUGAUAGACAGUGCGAAAAAAUACUCCGAAAAUGGGGAGCAAAAGACAAACCUGACAACAAGGGACUGUGGCCAUCACAAAGAAACCACCAACUCAGCUCAAAUGGUAUUCAAAGCCAUCUAAAUUACCAUCCAAUUACCAGUGUCAAGGAUCUGUACUUAAUGCUUGAAGACGUUGGUAACUGGGAGGCACUGUGUGUUAACCUAGGGAUCAGAACUGGCCUAAUAGAUGAACUAAGGCACUCCCGAUUAGAAGUAUCAGUUUUAAAGCUUAGAUGUAUUGAGGCUUACGUCAACGACGGAGAAGCCUCUUGGGAAGAUGUGGCAUUGGCUGUCAUAUUAUACCCAAUACAAAACAUAAAAGUAAGUAAUAAAAUAAGAUUGAUAUAUUUAGACAAUAAACAUUUCUUAUGUUUGUUUUAUGUUUCCAUAUGUCUUGCUGUAGUUGCUAUACAUAA